CUUGGCUUGGCCCUUUUUGGCACUAGCACAUUUUUGCUGUUCUCUGUAUACGCCGAGCAAUUAUGUGUAGUGCCAAUAUGGGAGAAGUCCGA
ensembl:miRNA MIR96 microRNA 96